CAUGCAAGUCGAACGGAAAGGCCCUUCGGGGUGCUCGAGUGGCGAACGGGUGAGUAACACGUGGGUGAUCUGCCCUGCACUUUGGGAUAAGCCUGGGAAACUGGGUCUAAUACCGAAUAGGACUCCGGACUGCAUGGUCUGGGGUGGAAAGCUUUUGCGGUGUGGGAUGGGCCCGCGGCCUAUCAGCUUGUUGGUGGGGUGAUGGCCUACCAAGGCGACGACGGGUAGCCGGCCUGAGAGGGUGACCGGCCACACUGGGACUGAGAUACGGCCCAGACCCCUACGGGAGGCAGCAGUGGGGAAUAUUGCACAAUGGGCGCAAGCCUGAUGCAGCGACGCCGCGUGGGGGAUGACGGCCUUCGGGUUGUAAACCUCUUUCAGCACAGACGAAGCGUAAGUGACGGUAUGUGCAGAAGAAGCACCGGCCAACUACGUGCCAGCAGCCGCGGUAAUACGUAGGGUGCGAGCGUUGUCCGGAAUUACUGGGCGUAAAGAGCUCGUAGGUGGUUUGUCGCGUUGUUCGUGAAAACUCACA
rnacentral:rRNA from 1 species